rnacentral:rRNA from 1 species
UACGUAGGGGGCUAGCGUUGCUCGGAUUCACUGGGCGUAAAGGGCGCGUAGGCGGCCAUUCAAGUCAGAGGUGAAAGCCCAAGGCUCAACCUUGGAACUGCCUUUGAUACUGUUUGGCUUGAGACCGGUAGAGGUAAGUGGAACUGCGAGUGUAGAGGUGAAAUUCGUAGAUAUUCGCAAGAACACCAGUGGCGAAGGCGGCUUACUGGACCGGUUCUGACGCUGAGGCGCGAAAGCGUGGGGAGCAAACAGG